rnacentral:rRNA from 1 species
CGGCGAACGGGUGAGUAACACGUGGAUUAUCUGCCCUGAGGUGGGGGAUAACCCGGGGAAACUCGGGCUAAUACCGCAUAUGACCGUGAGGUCAAAGGGGGGUCGCAAGAUCUCUCGCCAUUGGAGGAGUCCGCGUCCGAUUAGCUAGUUGGUAGGGUAAUGGCCUACCAAGGCGACGAUCGGUAGCCGGCCUGAGAGGGUGAUCGGCCACACUGGAACUGAGACACGGUCCAG